AUUAUCGUAAAAAUAUUCUUAAAAUAAACAAAUUGAUCAUAAGUGUGAAUAACGAGAUAAAUAUUACAACAAUUGGAAACGUAAUGCAAAGUAAUAAUAAUAAACUUUAGGAAUUUAGAUUGACGUAAUUGGUAAUUGACUUGAGUGAAACUUAUAACGAAUUAAAUAUUGUAACGAUUGGGAACGUAAUACAGAAUAUAGCUUAGGUAUUUAGAUUAACGUAACUGACAAUUGACAUGAGCGAACCUUAUUUUUAAUUUGAGCUUGUAUGGUACGCUAAGUACGUGAUUUUAUUUACAUUGACUUUAAUCGUAAAUAUCAUGAGGAUAUCGUAGAAUUACUAGUAAAAUAAGAUUACAAUCUAACAUUUUAAAUAGCGUGAGAAAAGCAGAGUUUAUAGUUUGACAAUUGGAAAUGAAUAAUUGUUAUCGUGGCAUAAUCGUCCUCUUUGAUAACUUCAAAACUAAACGUAUUUAUAAGAGUAAUGGAAUAUUAAAAAAUUCGUGAAAAUUGCUUGUUAGGUGAUCGCGGUGAAAAAUUUUAAUCAAUAUAUUAAUUGAAAUUGUUUACAAGAUUUAAAAAUCAUUUGAGGUAGAUUGAUCGGGAAUUUAAAAAAUAAUAUAAAAUAAACGUAUUUUUAGAGUGAUGGUAUAAUACAUUAAUCGUGAAUAUUGCUUGCUAGAUGAUCGCGGUGAAAAAUUAAUCGAAAUAUUAAUUGAAAUUGGCUUACUAGAUUUAAUAAUCAUUAAGGGAGUUUGAUAGGGAAUUUAAAAAAAAUAAAAAGAAAUCUAUUAAGUAGGUUGAUAAAUAGGUAGCUACAUGGAGUUUGAAGUUUACUAGCGCUCCUGGCUAAUUUUGGGUUAACCGUAUAUUUGAUUGGGUUGUGAAAAGGAAUGGGGAUCUUGAAGAUAAAUGAUAAGAAUAUUGAGAAAAAUUUCUAACAGUGGAAAAUUAUAUUUCCUUAAUUUUAUUUAGAACGUUCAAAUCCGAUGAGUUUUAUUUAGUCUGUAGGGGGGUCAUGUGACCAGAGAAGCGGACAUAAGCAUUGCUUAAUAGGAAUUCAAACUACCGUUUUCGGAGGUUUCAUCUGGAAACUAUGCGUAUUCGUAAUGUUGAUCGUCUAAAUUGAGAUUGGAUUUGAAAGUUACUCAUGAAGUCCGCGUUUAAGAUCGGUAAGUGGUAAUAAUUUAGAAUUCGAUGAGUUUAAAUUAGAAGAACUGAUGCUUUGUGAAAUUUGUUUUAGAUAGAAGAUCGCGAUCGUUCGAACGGAUUUCGAGUUAUCUUUGAGACAAUUUAAUGGAAUUUGAACGAAUUUGGUAGCGUUUUCGAAUGUGAACGUUUAAGGACUAUUGGCUAAAUGGGAAUCGAAUUCGUGAUAGCAUCGGAGCGAGUACAUUUACAGUUUCAGGUAACGAAUAAGAAUAGAUGAUGAUCGUGAAAUUUGGAUCUUCGGAGGAACGAAUAAUUGGCUGAUUUUAGCGUUGUGUUCCUGAAUUGGAUGGCAGUUCGAAUUCGGCGACUGCUUUGUGUAUAUAUUUAUCUGUUUUAUUGACCAGCGAGUGUGAAAUAUACGAUUAUGUAAAUUA